GUGAGGAAUAUUGGUCAAUGGGCGAGAGCCUGAACCAGCCAAGUCGCGUGAAGGAAGAAGGAUCUAUGGUUCGUAAACUUCUUUUGCAGGGGAAUAAAGUGCGGGACGUGUCCUGUUUUGUAUGUACCCUGAGAAUAAGGAUCGGCUAACUCCGUGCCAGCAGCCGCGGUAAUACGGAGGAUCCGAGCGUUAUCCGGAUUUAUUGGGUUUAAAGGGUGCGCAGGCGGGUUGAUAAGUCAGCGGUGAAAGUUUGCAGCUUAACUGUAAAAUUGCCGUUGAAACUGUCGAUCUUGAGUGCAAAUGAGGUAAGCGGAAUGUGUUGUGUAGCGGUGAAAUGCUUAGAUAUAACACAGAACACCGAUUGCGAAGGCAGCUUACUGGGAUGCAACUGACGCUCAUGCACGAAAGCGUGGGGAUCAAACAGGAUUAGAAACCCGGGUAGUCC
rnacentral:rRNA from 1 species